CUACGGGUGGCAGCAGUGGGGAAUAUUGGACAAUGGGGGAAACCCUGAUCCAGCAAUGCCGCGUGUGUGAAGAAGGCCUGCGGGUUGUAAAGCACUUUCGGUUGGGAGGACUGCUUCUAGCACUAAUAUUGUUGGAAGUUGACGUUACCUUCAGAAGAAGCACCGGCUAACUCCGUGCCAGCAGCCGCGGUAAUACGGAGGGUGCAUGCGUUAAUCGGAAUUACUGGGCGUAAAGCGCGCGUAGGCGGCUAGAUCAGUCGGGUGUGAAAGCCCCGGGCUUAACCUGGGAACUGCAUCCGAUACUGUCUAGCCUGAGUACAGGAGAGAAGAGUGGAAUUCCACAUGUAGCGGUGAAAUGCGUAGAUAUGUGGAGGAACACCAAUGGCGAAGGCAGCUCUCUGGCCUGAUACUGACGCUGAGGUGCGAAAGCGUGGGGAGCAAACAGGAUUAGAUACCCGAGUAGUC
rnacentral:rRNA from 1 species